GCCCAUUGUUACACAUCCUCAGGCAGGUGGCCCUGGGCCAUCCAGGGGUAGGAUUGAUUGUGGGACACCCAUGCAUCCUCACCACAACUCAGACUUUCUCCCCAUUAUGUCCCCAGGUUCUUCCCAAGGUGGCACAAUGGUGGCC
rnacentral:sRNA from 1 species